GGCUGGGGAGGGGGAGGCCCGGCGGGAGGCCCUGGCUCUCAUUUCAAUCACAAAGGGCGGCCAUGGGCACGCUGCCGCCAUGCUGUGUGCGGGGCCUUCGCCCCAGGUGUUGUUCCAGGGCACCUGUGCUACGUGGGGUGUGCAUCGGGAAUAAACACCAAUUCUUGUUGGCAUAAACUGAAGAACAUCUACUGGAGAGCACAGCAUGGACAAUUUGCUCUGUCUUGUAGCACGUCGGGUAAAGGCAAUGCGGAACCAGUAAGGAUCAUGAGACUUGUGUGCUAAAUGCCAUUUUGGGCCUCGGGAAGAAGUGAGGAAACAGUUGCUGAGCACUAAGAAACCGAAGUAUGGUGAUAACAGAAGGCAAAUAAACCUAAAACUAAGGAAACACCGGGGAUGGUGACAGCAAAAGAGCAGUUAACCCAGCUGGAAAAUGGGGGAAGGAAAGCAGAAACCUCGCGGAAAGUCGGAUGCCACAUCUGAUCCGCAGCCUCCUGGGAGAAGGGCUUUGAAAAAUCCGUGCUGAGGUUGUGAGGAAACGCAGAGCA